rnacentral:rRNA from 1 species
GAUUGAUCGGUGACUGAGUGGCGGACGGGUGAGUAACGCGUGAAUAACCUGCCCUGUACCGGGGGGACAACAGUUGGAAACGGCUGCUAAUACCGCAUAAGCGCACGGUUCCGCAUGGAACAGUGUGAAAAACUCCGGUGGUACAGGAUGGAUUCGCGUCUGAUUAGCCAGUUGGUGGGGUAACGGCCUACCAAAGCAACGAUCAGUAGCCGGCCUGAGAGGGUGAACGGCCACAUUGGGACUGAGACACGGCCCAAACUCCUACGGGAGGCAGCAGUGGGGAAUAUUGCACAAUGGGGGAAACCCUGAUGCAGCGACGCCGCGUGAGUGAAGAAGUUAUUCGUAACGUAAAGCUCUAUCAGCAGGGAAGAAAAUGACGGUACCUGACUAAGAAGCCCCGGCUAACUACGUGCCAGCAGCCGCGGUAAUACGUAGGGGGCAAGCGUUAUCCGGAUUUACUGGGUGUAAAGGGAGCGUACACGGCACAGCAAGUCUGAUGUGAAAGCCCGGGGGCCCAACCCCGGAACUGCAUUGGAAACUGCUGGGCUUGAGUGCAGGAGAGGUAAGCGGAAUUCCUAGUGUAGCGGUGAAAUGCGUAGAUAUUAGGAGGAACACCAGUGGCGAAGGCGGCUUACUGGACUGUAACUGACGUUGAGGCUCGAAAGCGUGGGGAGCAAACAGGAUUAGAUACCCUGGUAGUCCACGCCGUAAACAAUGAUUAAAAGGUUUCGGGGGCCCAAGCCCCUUCGGCCCCCCCGCAACCCCAAUAAGAAUUCCCCCGGGGGAGUCCUUUCCCAGAAAUGAAACUCAAAGGGAAUUGACGGGGACCCGCCCAAGCGGUGGCGCAGGUGGUUUAUUUCGAAGCAACGGGAAGACCCUUACCUGGUCUUGACAUCCCGAUGACCGCUCGGUAAUGAGAGUUUUUCUUCGAAACAUCGAAGACAGGUGUGCCAGGGUCGUCGUCAGCUCGUGUCGUGAGAUGUUGGGUAAAGUCCCGCAACGAGCGCACCCCCUAUCUUCAGUAGCCAGCAUUUAAGGUGGGCACUCUGGAGAGACUGCCCGGGAUAACCGGGAGGAAGGCGGGGAUGACGUCAAAUCAUCAUGCCCCUUAUGACCAGGGCUACACACGUGCUACAAUGGCGUAACAAAGGGAAGCGAACCCGUGAGGGGGAGCAAAUCCCAAAAAUAACGUCCCAGUUCGGACUGUAGUCUGCAACCCGACUACACGAAGCUGGAAUCGCUAGUAAUCGCGAAUCAGAAUGUCGCGGUGAAUACGUUCCCGGGUCUUGCACACACCGCCCGUCA